GACGAACGCUGGCGGCGUGCCUAGUACAUGCAAGUUGAGCGAUGAAGAUUGGUGCUUGCACCAAUUUGAAGAGCAGCGAACGGGUGAGUAACGCGUGGGGAAUCUGCCUUUGAGCGGGGGACAACAUUUGGAAACGAAUGCUAAUACCGCAUAACAACUUUAAACAUAAGUUUUAAGUUUGAAAGAUGCAAUUGCAUCACUCAAAGAUGAUCCCGCGUUGUAUUAGCUAGGUGGUGAGGUAAAGGCUCACCAAGGCGAUGAUACAUAGCCGACCUGAGAGGGUGAUCGAGCACAAUGGGAAUGAGAAACGGCCCCAAAUCCUACGGGAGGCAGCAGUAGGGAAUCUUCGGCAAUGGACGAAAGUCUGACCGAGCAACGCCGCGGGAGUGAAGAAGGGUUUCGGAUCGUAAAACUCCGUUGGUAGAGAAGAACGUUGGUGAGAGUGGAAAGCUCAUCAAGUGACGGUAACUACCCAGAAAGGGACGGCUAACUACGUG
rnacentral:rRNA from 1 species